rnacentral:piRNA from 1 species
UCCUAGUGCAUUCUUGAACUUGGUUUCCAU